UGCCGGAAGAUAAGGCGUAAAACAGUCAAAACAAGGGAAGCAACCCCGUACAAAAGCGUA
rnacentral:ncRNA from 1 species